GCGGUGAAAUGCGUAGAUAUCAGGAGGAACACCGGUGGCGAAAGCGCUCGUCUGGCCCAAUACUGACGCUGAUGCGCGAAAGCUAGGGGAGCAAACGGGAUUAGAUACCCCGGUAGUCCUAGCCGUAAACGGUGAGCACUAGGUGUUGGAGGCAUCGACCCCUCCAGUGCCGUAGCUAACGCACUAAGUGCUCCGCCUGGGGAGUACGGCCGCAAGGUUGAAACUCAAAUGAAUUGACGG
rnacentral:rRNA from 1 species